UACGAAGGGGGCUAGCGUUGUUCGGAAUUACUGGGCGUAAAGCGUAUGCAGGCGGAUCGUUAAGUCGGGGGUGAAAUCCCGAGGCUCAACCUCGGAACUGCCUUCGAUACUGGCGAUCUUGAGUCCGGGAGAGGUGAGUAGAACUCCGAGUGUAGAGGUGAAAUUCGUAGAUAUUCGGAAGAACACCAGUGGCGAAGGCGGCUCACUGGCCCGGUACUGACGCUGAGAUACGAAAGCGUGGGGAGCAAACAGG
rnacentral:rRNA from 1 species